UACGGGGGGUGCAAGCGUUAUCCGGAUUCACUGGGUUUAAAGGGUGCGUAGGUGGGUCUGUAAGUCCGUGGUGAAAUCUCCGAGCUUAACUUGGAAACUGCCAUGGAUACUAUAGGUCUUGAAUACUGUGGAGGUCAGCGGAAUAUGUCAUGUAGCGGUGAAAUGCUUAGAUAUGACAUAGAACACCAAUUGCGAAGGCAGCUCACUACACGAAUAUUGACACUGAGGCACGAAAGCGUGGGGAUCAAACAGG
rnacentral:rRNA from 1 species